rnacentral:snRNA from 1 species
AGCUUUGCGCAGUGGCAGUAUCGUAGCCAAUGAGGUUUAUCCGAGGUGCGAUUAUUGCUAACUGAAAACAAAAAUAAAGAUAUUCCGGGGCCAGCAGGUGGCGUGGUGGGUAAGGGGGCUGGACUCCCACAUGACUGACAGUGAUUCCAGUCC